GACGAACGCUGGCGGCGUGCCUAAUACAUGCAAGUAGAACGCUGAAGGAGGAGCUUUCUUCUCUGGAUGAGUUGCGAACGGGUGAGUAACGCGUAGGUAACCUGCCUGUUAGCGGGGGAGAACUAUUGGAAACGAUAGCUAAUACCGCAUAAGAGUAGAUGUUGCAUGACAUUUGCUUGAAAGGUGCAAUUGCAUCACUACCAGAUGGACCUGCGUUGGAUUAGCUAGUUGGUGGGGUAACGGCGCAACAAGGCGACGAUACAUAGCCGACCUGAUAGGGGGAUCGGCCAAAAUGGGAACGAGAAACGGCCCAGACUCCUAAGGGAGGGAGCAGGAGGGAAUCUUUGGGAAUGGACCGAAGUCUGACCGAGCAAAGCCGCGGGAGUGAAGAAGGUUUUCGGAUCGUAAAGCUCUGUUGUAAGGGAAGAAAGAGUGUGAGAGUGGAAAGUUCACAUUGUGACGGUACCUUACCAGAAAGGGACGGCUAACUACGUG
rnacentral:rRNA from 1 species